rnacentral:misc_RNA from 1 species
AACAAGGCGUACCUGCGGACCUGCGGAGGGAUCAUUACCAGAGUGCCCUAGGCUCUCCAACCCAUUGUGAACUUACCAAACGUUCCCUCGGCGGGCUCAGCGCGCGGCGGCCUCCGGGCCUCCGGGCGUCCGCCGGGGAAAACCAAACCCUGAUUUAAUCGUAUUUCUCUGAGGGGCGAAAGCCCGAAAACAAAAUGAAUCAAAACUUUCAACAAUGGAUCUCAGAUCGGAAGAGCACAC